rnacentral:rRNA from 1 species
AGUGAACGCUGGCGGUAGGCCUAACACAUGCAAGUCGAACGGCAGCACAGGAGAGCUUGCUCUCUGGGUGGCGAGUGGCGGACGGGUGAGGAAUACAUCGGAAUCUACUUUUUCGUGGGGGAUAACGUAGGGAAACUUUCGCUAAUACCGCAUACGACCUACGGGUGAAAGCAGGGGAUCUUCGGACCUUGCGCGAUUGAAUGAGCCGACGUCAGAUUAGCUAGUUGGCGGGGUAAAGGCCCACCAAGGCGACGAUCCGUAGCUGGUCUGAGAGGAUGAUCAGCCACACUGGAACUGAGACACGGUCCAGACUCCUACGGGAGGCAGCAGUGGGGAAUAUUGGACAAUGGGCGCAAGCCUGAUCCAGCCAUACCGCGUGGGUGAAGAAGGCCUUCGGGUUGUAAAGCCCUUUUGUUGGGAAAGAAAUCCAGCUGGUUAAUACCCGGUUGGGAUGACGGUACCCAAAGAAUAAGCACCGGCUAACUUCGUGCCAGCCGCCGCGGUAA